ncrna:unclassified sequences RT-7 RNA
AUCGGAGUUCCGUCGAGGUCAAGCGCCUCCGGAAGAGUAUCUUGUGAAUUCAGUGACCCACCGGCGACGGAAAACAGGCGCGGCGAGCCGACGACGGCUGCGCGGCGUUGUCGUCCGGUAUUGAAAAUCCAAUCCGACGCAGGGUUCGCCCCCUUCCGCUGGGAAAAGACAUCCCCUGCGCCGUUUAGCAAGCGGUCACUUUUGCC